AAUACUUUGUUAUCCCUUAUAUGUGAGAUUUUAAAAGUAAAAUGAAUGAAUAUAACAAAACAGAAGCAGAUUCAUAGAAAUAGGGAGCAAACUAGUGGUCACCAGUGGGGGGAGAGAGGGACAAGAUAGGGUUGGGGACCAAGUUACUAACUACCACGUAUAAAAUGAAGUGCAAGGAUAUAUUGUACAGCACAGAGAAUAUAACCAAUGUAAUCAUUUUAAGUGGAGUAUUAUCUGUAAAAAUUCCGAAUCACUGUUGUAUACCUGAAACCAACGUAUACCUGAAACCAGUUAACUAUAACCAAUUUUUUACAAAUGAUUCCACUAUGCCAUUGUAACUUUCUGUUGCCUGGAGUCACCUACUCUGUUUCUGUUGUCUCUCAUGCUUUGAACUGCCUUUAUAAUUCUGGUGCUGCUGGUUAUGUGUUUAUAGAAUAACAGACCAACGAGCUCAGUAAUUGUGUUGGUUUUUUCUGUUGCUGUAUGUUUCCCCUGCUGCUGUCUGCUUCCCUGAGCUGGACCAUGAAGGACUUCGGCAGUAGGGUUUUCUGUCAGGAAUUACUACAGGGGACUUACUGGAUUUCCGUAGAAUGAUCCCUCUUGGUUUGGCUGUGUGUGGUGUGUUGCUUGUCUGAAGUACUUGCUGGUUAUGAACUCAGAGCCUCUGUGGGAUCUUUCCAGGAAGACUGGCUGUCACGUCCAUCACCUACCUUCUGGGCCAUGGCUUCCUCCACUCUGCUGAGCCACCAGUGUGUUGUCAUCCACUUCUAGAAAUGUAUUGACACUGCUUCACCAGCCACCCCAUCUCCCUGCCAUUCUCUUUGCUGUUAGGUGUUUAUAUUCCUAUUCUGUCCUUUUAAUGGGGAUCUCAAAAAGAAGUGGGAACAACCACUUGUGCUCACACGACUAUCUUGAAGCUUUAAUAUGUUUGCAUGCUUUACAAAUCUUCCAGGAUAUUUGUUGUUUGGAUUUCUUUUACAACUGCUUUUUGGGGAUGGAUGUACCACUGUCGCCAAGAGUUGGGCACGACCGAGUGACUGAACUGUACCACUGUUAAAGGGUGAGGCCUUUGUUCUGCUGAGUCCCUUGAUGUGUUUGCAUAUACAAAUUAUUAUCAGAAGCUGAGGAGAGCUGAACAGCUUUUUUAUAAUAGAGUAAAACGACCUGGAGUUUCCAUAGCAAUCUGAGAGAGAAGGGGUAAGGACAGCGAUGGGAGGAAAAAAGAGCAAGUUAGUCCCACGCCCUGAUGAGACCCCUCCCCAAGAUUCCCAGUCUCUCGAAGGGAUUCUAGCUGUACAAUGCUUGAUAUGACAGAACUUCCCAGGGAACUCAUGAAGGUGCUUAGUUCUGUGAUAAAGCAAAUGGGGACAAAACAAGUGAUGAAAUAAAAUGUAUAUUUUAUGGUAAGACAAAAUUUUAAAUAAAAUUUUUAUUUUCUCCUCCUCCCUCCCCUUUACUGUGUGUUAUGCACCUGCACUGACCAGACCUCAUUCGGAGAUAACAUUUCUUCUUAAUCUCAUCAAGGGUUAUAACUUCUUAGGAGAUAACCUUCCUUCUUCAUCUUGGAAUGGCCAUGAGGACCCAUGGCCCACUGCUUGCUUUGUAUGCACAGACCUGGAUUGUGUAAACUGUCAAUAACACUUAAUGUACAACCUUCUGUCUCAAAAAUUUAUAUAACUUUGCUUUGACCUCUAAUGGGUGGAACAGUUCUCAGAGCUUUCUGAGAGACUGUUCCUGAGUCAUAAUCCUCAGUAUGGCUCAAAUAAAAUUUUCCAUUUCUUUCUUAGAUCACCUGAUUAAUUUUUUGUUGACACAGAGGAUUGCACAGACCACAGGAACCUCAGGCAUGAAUGUGAUCAUACAAUCUCUUGGCUUUAAAAUUCUCUACUGUCCACAACCUGAAAUUCUUUAUCCUAAUUCUUGGAUAAAUUCUUGGUCCUUCAGGACCCAGUCCCCGACUACCUUACCAACCUCAUCUCCUCACCCAGGACAAUCUUCACUACCUCAAAUGUUUCACUGUUCCUAAAACACUAAAGCUUUCCUUCUAUCGGAAAUAGCCUUCCUCUUCUUUAACUAGUAAACACCCACUCAUUCUCCAAGACCAGAUUCAAUCCUCUCAGCCUUCUCCUCUCCUGGGAAGUUAGGCAUCCUGCCUGUGUUCCCCCAGUACCUUGUUCAGAAGGGAGUUUCCGUUCCUCUGAGUUCCUAGCAGGAAGGACUGUCCUAUUCACUCCUGGGGCCAAUGUCCAAUACAGGCCAGGUUAGGGCCCUCCCCGGGGCUGCUCCCAACGUGCCCCUGGGAACAACUGUAAAUGACACCUACCAUCCUGCCUUGGAACUCUGGGUUCAAGUGCCAGUCUCCCACAGUCUGAAGAAAUGACUCAGAAAAACAGAGUAGGAAUGACUUCUUUUGAAAGGGAAAUUUACACUUAUAAAGGAAAUCUCUAUUUGUUAGGGUGUCUCCCUCACUGCCCUAGGAGAAAACAACUGAACAGUAACAGAAUCUUACUAAUGGGGAAGGCAGAGACUUUAAUCUGCAUAACAAACCUUACCCUUGUUUAUCCUGCUCUUCCUGGCAACCUCCCCAUAACUGGCUUACUCAUCCUCACCUUUAUUUCUCCUUUGGCUAAAGAUGGUAUUUAAACUGCUGGUUUAGGCCACAUAGGGCUUCCCAGGUGGCUCAGUGGUAAAGAAUGCAGGCGAUGUGAAUUUGAUCCCUGGGUCGGGAA